GUGAGUCAUCGAAUCUUUGAACGCAUAUUGCGCCCUUUGGUAUUCCGAAGGGCAUGCCUGUUCGAGCGUCAUUAUCACCUCUCAAGCCUGGCUUGAUGUUGGACUUUUGGUUGUGUGCUUUAAGCUUUGCAACCGGUCCCAAAGACAAUGACGGCGUCCGUAGAACCCUCGGUGCAAUGAGCUUUUUCCAAAGGCACGCACUAGAGUUUAGGCUCUUCGGCACGGUCUUUUUAACACCUUUUUCUUUUUACAAGGUUGACCUCGGAUCAGGUAGGAAUACCCGCUGAACUUAAGCAUAUCAAUAAGCGGAGGA
rnacentral:misc_RNA from 1 species